rnacentral:rRNA from 1 species
GGGUUGUGAGGUUAAGCGACUAAGCGUACACGGUGGAUGCCCUGGCAGUCAGAGGCGAUGAAGGGCGUGCUAAUCUGCGAUAAGCGCCGGUAAGGUGAUAUGAACCGUUAUAACCGGCGAUACCCGAAUGGGGAAACCCAGUGUGACUCGUCACACUAUCAUUAACUGAAUCCAUAGGUUAAUGAGGCGAACCGGGGGAACUGAAACAUCUAAGUACCCGAGGAAAAGAAAUCAACCGAGAUUCCCCCAGUAGCGGCGAGCGAACGGGGAGGAGCCCAGAGCCUGAAUCAGCAUGUGUGUUAGUGGAAGCGUCUGGAAAGGCGCGCGAUACAGGGUGACAGCCCCGUACACAAAAGCGCAUGUGCUGUGAGCUCGAUGAGUAGGGCGGGACACGUGGUAUCCUGUCUGAAUAUGGGGGGACCAUCCUCCAAGGCUAAAUACUCCUGACUGACCGAUAGUGAACCAGUACCGUGAGGGAAAGGCGAAAAGAACCCCGGCGAGGGGAGUGAAAAAGAACCUGAAACCGUGUACGUACAAGCAGUGGGAGCACAGGUUUACCUGUGUGACUGCGUACCUUUUGUAUAAUGGGUCAGCGACUUAUAUUCUGUAGCAAGGUUAACCGAAUAGGGGAGCCGGAGGGAAACCGAGUCUUAAUUGGGCGUUAAGUUGCAGGGUAUAGACCCGAAACCCGGUGAUCUAGCCAUGGGCAGGUUGAAGGUUGGGUAACACUAACUGGAGGACCGAACCGACUAAUGUUGAAAAAUUAGCGGAUGACCUGUGGCUGGGGGUGAAAGGCCAAUCAAACCGGGAGAUAGCUGGUUCUCCCCGAAAGCUAUUUAGGUAGCGCCUCGUGAAUUCAUCUCCGGGGUAGAGCACUGUUUCGGCUAGGGGGCCAUCCCGGCUUACCAACCCGAUGCAAACUGCGAAUACCGGAGAAUGUUAUCACGGGAGACACACGGCGGGUGCUAACGUCCGUCGUGAAGAGGGAAACAACCCAGACCGCCAGCUAAGGUCCCAAAGUCAUGGUUAAGUGGGAAACGAUGUGGGAAGGCCCAGACAGCCAGGAUGUUGGCUUAGAAGCAGCCAUCAUUUAAAGAAAGCGUAAUAGCUCACUGGUCGAGUCGGCCUGCGCGGAAGAUGUAACGGGGCUAAACCAUGCACCGAAGCUGCGGCAGCGACACUGUGUGUUGUUGGGUAGGGGAGCGUUCUGUAAGCCUGUGAAGGUGGCCUGUGAGGGUUGCUGGAGGUAUCAGAAGUGCGAAUGCUGACAUAAGUAACGAUAAAGCGGGUGAAAAGCCCGCUCGCCGGAAGACCAAGGGUUCCUGUCCAACGUUAAUCGGGGCAGGGUGAGUCGACCCCUAAGGCGAGGCCGAAAGGCGUAGUCGAUGGGAAACAGGUUAAUAUUCCUGUACUUGGUGUUACUGCGAAGGGGGACGGAGAAGGCUAUGUUGGCCGGGCGACGGUUGUCCCGGUUUAAGCGUGUAGGUGUGUGUUCCAGGUAAAUCCGGUUCACUUUAACACUGAGGCGUGAUGACGAGGCACUACGGUGCUGAAGCAACAAAUGCCCUGCUUCCAGGAAAAGCCUCUAAGCAUCAGGUAACAUCAAAUCGUACCCCAAACCGACACAGGUGGUCAGGUAGAGAAUACCAAGGCGCUUGAGAGAACUCGGGUGAAGGAACUAGGCAAAAUGGUGCCGUAACUUCGGGAGAAGGCACGCUGACACGUAGGUGAAGUGAUUUACUCAUGGAGCUGAAGUCAGUCGAAGAUACCAGCUGGCUGCAACUGUUUAUUAAAAACACAGCACUGUGCAAACACGAAAGUGGACGUAUACGGUGUGACGCCUGCCCGGUGCCGGAAGGUUAAUUGAUGGGGUCAGCGCAAGCGAAGCUCCUGAUCGAAGCCCCGGUAAACGGCGGCCGUAACUAUAACGGUCCUAAGGUAGCGAAAUUCCUUGUCGGGUAAGUUCCGACCUGCACGAAUGGCGUAAUGAUGGCCAGGCUGUCUCCACCCGAGACUCAGUGAAAUUGAACUCGCUGUGAAGAUGCAGUGUACCCGCGGCAAGACGGAAAGACCCCGUGAACCUUUACUAUAGCUUGACACUGAACAUUGAGCCUUGAUGUGUAGGAUAGGUGGGAGGCUUUGAAGUGUGGACGCCAGUCUGCAUGGAGCCGACCUUGAAAUACCACCCUUUAAUGUUUGAUGUUCUAACGUGGACCCGUAAUCCGGGUUGCGGACAGUGUCUGGUGGGUAGUUUGACUGGGGCGGUCUCCUCCUAAAGAGUAACGGAGGAGCACGAAGGUUGGCUAAUCCUGGUCGGACAUCAGGAGGUUAGUGCAAUGGCAUAAGCCAGCUUGACUGCGAGCGUGACGGCGCGAGCAGGUGCGAAAGCAGGUCAUAGUGAUCCGGUGGUUCUGAAUGGAAGGGCCAUCGCUCAACGGAUAAAAGGUACUCCGGGGAUAACAGGCUGAUACCGCCCAAGAGUUCAUAUCGACGGCGGUGUUUGGCACCUCGAUGUCGGCUCAUCACAUCCUGGGGCUGAAGUAGGUCCCAAGGGUAUGGCUGUUCGCCAUUUAAAGUGGUACGCGAGCUGGGUUUAGAACGUCGUGAGACAGUUCGGUCCCUAUCUGCCGUGGGCGCUGGAGAACUGAGGGGGGCUGCUCCUAGUACGAGAGGACCGGAGUGGACGCAUCACUGGUGUUCGGGUUGUCAUGCCAAUGGCACUGCCCGGUAGCUAAAUGCGGAAGAGAUAAGUGCUGAAAGCAUCUAAGCACGAAACUUGCCCCGAGAUGAGUUCUCCCUGAGACUUAGAGUCUCCUGAAGGAACGUUGAAGACGACGACGUUGAUAGGCCGGGUGUGUAAGCGCAGCGAUGCGUUGAGCUAACCGGUACUAAUGAACCGUGAGGCUUAACCUUACAACGCCGAAG